rnacentral:tRNA from 1 species
GUAGGCGUAGCGUAGCUGGAUAACGCAUCGGACUCCGACUCCGAAGAUCGCCGGUUCGAAUCCGGCCGUCUACAGCA